UAAUUACAACAACAAGUUCUUAUUACAGUUAGCAAUAUCAAUGCCUCUAAACAGUAAUAUUAAGCAAAAUUAAGCAAAUCAUAUAUGCAUCCAUAAAAUUGAACCUGGAUUUCAAAUACCUAAUUACAACAAGUUCAUAUUACAGUUAGUAAUAGCAAUGCUCUACACAGUAAUAUUAAGCAAAAUUAAGCAAAUCAUAUAUGCAUCCAUAAAAUUGAACCUGGAUUUUGAAGAUUGAAUGUGAAUUUGAAUGUUAAACGAAGCUGAAAGAAGUUGAACGAAGCUUGAGAGGUUGAGAGAUUUAGGGAUUCGAACAAAAUUUAAACGAAGCCUGAAUGUUGAACCAAAUUUGAACCAAGCUUGAGAUGAAUCUGAACGUAGCUUGAGAGAUUUAGGGAUUGGAGCUUGUGAGUGAGUACCAAAGGAUUGAAGAAGCUUGAAAACGAAUCUGAUUUUGAGAAUAUCGCAGAUUUAGGGAUUUAGGGAUUGGAGCUUGUGAGCUUUAACCAUGAGAGAUUUUGAGAAUAUCGUCGGUGAGUGAGAUCCAAAGGAUUGAAAACGAAUCUGAACUUGUGAGUGAGAACGAAGUAUUGAAAAAAGAGGGAAGAAGUGAAAUAGCGCGGGUUUGUCGAUCGACUUCUCGACGGAGGGUGAAGAGAAGUGUAGAUGCGAGAAUUAGACCUAAGACAAGGGCAGGGGUUUAAGAAAAUUACCCGAUGUUUCAAGUUCUGCGUUUGGGUAUCUUCUCGAUUUUGGGGGAAAUUAAAAUUAUUCUACGUAUUUAUUUUCCU
rnacentral:lncRNA from 1 species